AUUAUAUGCACGCAGCAGAAGAGGAAAGAAGUACCGCUGACAGGAAGACCUAGGGUCUUUUUUAGCCAGAGGUCUCUAUAGACAUGCCAUCAAUAGUAAUGGCAACCGCAGUGUAUCAUCGUGACGAUGUGCUUAAUCAGGGCUCAGGUGUUGAGGAUGUAGACUUGGGAGAGCCCCUUGUUGGUGUGCUUAAGGCAUCCUGGUUUCAGUCAGGUCAGGUCCCCUCACCUAAUACUGGCCUGAGGCCCAAGACCAAGAUACAAGGACUGAGGCUGAAUGGUGGAUAAAGAUUGCGAAUUUGCACAGCUAUAAAGCUUACUAAUUAAAGACUACAAACACAAAGAGAGCAAGCCUUGUGAUGACUGCACAAUAACGAGGAUUCAGAUACAACGUGGUCGCCACCUGACGCCCACCUCCACAAAAAGCCAUUCUCAAAAGGAGAGAGACAUUCAUAUCCAGAAGAGGGAGUCGGCUGUAGGGUAGAGCAUGCAGUUUAGGCUGCUAACAACAGCAUGAGGGCAACCUGCUGUGGUGACCUAAGCUAUGACACCCCACCCCAAGUCCGGGAUGCAGCUAACUGAGCAAACUGCAUGAACUGGGAGGCGGCCGACCAUUGUUCACGCCUCUCCUUCGCGUAUGUGUUUUCUACUGUUCUUGCACUGUAAAGGCAGAGGUUGCAUCGGGCCCUUAUGCAAAGCCCCAAAUAAUUACUGGCUGACUCUUCUCAGGGAACAUUUGCUAACCCUGUCACAAGCCAUAAGGUUCCACCACAGAUUGCCCUGUGGCUCUCUCGUUACGUUUCUGUGUGGACGUUUCCACAUGGUCUGAGGCAUUCAUCCAAGAAGAGCAGGAUGUAUUAGUGACUGCACAGAUUCUGCCUUGGCCCACAAAGAGGACAUCCAGGGCAGUCCUGGUCAUCUGUAAUAACAUUGCCCAGUGAGUUGAGGCUGACCUGAGUACUGACUUGGGUUGAGUUGGUGUCACUGAUCACUUCAGCCAAAGAUGGGACAUUUCUUAGCACCUGUUCUGAUUGGCUGACUUCUAUGGUCAGGAUAACGGCUCUCAGGAUGCGUAUAACUGCCAAGUCUCUCCGGGAAGCUUCCCUGGGUUACCAAGGAAUCCUCAUGUCUGAGAGAGCUCCACCAUCAUCCAAGGGCCACACGGAGUUUCUUGCAAUGCUUCAAGGUCUCCUGUAAUAACUCCUAUGAUAGAAGUCACUGUGUUUUGGGGAGGUAGACUGCAGCAUGCAGUUUUGACAGCAUGACCAAGGUCAUUGUUCAGGUCUGAUUAUUCAAAUUCAAAAAACUGCAACCUCAGGCAUAAAAGAUUAAGGAUGGAGCCCAAGUCUCUGGGUCCCCAAGGGGGACUGAAGCACAUACUCACCCAUCUGAAUAUGCUGGAGAACAGGAAGGAGAGACUCAAGCUUGUCUGGGUCUGUUGGAUACAGACUCUCCCAUCUCCACCCCAUCAGGUCCUAUGGAGGCCCAAGUUCAGCUGAUGAAGUUAAGGGAGUGCUCAGUGCAGAAGGGUGGGAGGGCACUUGGGGCAUUUUGGGGUCCUGUUUUUGUUGCUUCUGCAUCUGAUACAGCAGGAAUU
rnacentral:lncRNA from 1 species